UAUUAUAGAAUGGCAUCAUUUUAUGAUUAAAGUCACAACGGUAAAAGAUGAGCAUGCGUCCCAUUAGCUAGUUGGUAAGGUAACGGCUUACCAAGGCUAUGAUGGGUAGGGGUCCUGAGAGGGAGAUCCCCCACACUGGUACUGAGACACGGACCAGACUCCUACGGGAGGCAGCAGUGAGGAAUAUUGGACAAUGGGCGCAAGCCUGAUCCAGCCAUGCCGCGUGCAGGAUGAAGCAUCUAUGGUGUGUAAACUGCUUUUAUACGGGAAGAAACCCUGGGACGUGUCCCAGACUGACGGUACCGUAAGAAUAAGGACCGGCUAACUCCGUGCCAGCAGCCGCGGUAAU
rnacentral:rRNA from 1 species